AUGGAAAGUAUUGAAGAACUGAUAAGUAAGAUUUCCCAUCAAUUAGAUGAUUUAGCUCAGCAGCGAGGAGUAGUUUUUGAGGAUAGGCCUGGUUCUUAUUAUCCUUAUUCCGGAGGCAAUCCUUAUAUUGCUCCUACAUGCCAUAUUUGUGGAUUUCACGGCCAUUCACCCGCUCAAUGUCAGCAUGGUUAUUCUCACACUCCAGAUUGUUUUGGCAUGAGCUUCGCUCAAGAGCAUAGCUCAUACCAAAACAAGUACUCACAUGGGUGGCCUGAAAACCCGAAUAUGUCAUAUAGGAGCAACAACCCUGAGAUCUCACCAUUUGCUUCUAGUAAUCAUAUGCAGGGAUUUAGGUAUGAAGAGGAGAGCCACAAUUAUGCUCCACAACAGUCUUAUUCAGCUCCUAUUCAUAUACCUCAGCACCAGGAGAUGUUGCCAAUGGAGUUAAAUGGUCCUCCAUUUGGUCAACCAACACCUUCAACACAAGUGCCUACUCAAGAUGAGUUCGAUGACAUAGACAAGCUCGCACUUUUGAGUCUCGAGUUCACUUGGAGUGCCGAGGAUGAUCCUAUUAGGAAGGUUAUACUAGAUGAAAUGAAGAAUAUCAAGAGUGGGAAUGAGCUAGUGGAAGAAGUAAAGAAGAUUGAGAAGAACAUCAACGCUGGCAGUACUAUUUCUUCACAGCUUGAGGUGCCUUGA
rnacentral:rRNA from 1 species